rnacentral:lncRNA from 1 species
CAAAAACUGAGCACUAAGAGCGAUUUUAGGCAAUUUUCCGUUUUUGUUAUUCGAGCUGCGACUCAAUUAGGUUUUUUUCCGUCUUAGGGUUUUAGAACUAGGAAUCUCGCCGACAGUUCUCGUAGCCCAUGCACUUACCUUGUUGUAAACGCUCAAACACAGAUUCAGAAUAAGAACUAUCUUGCUCACUUUUUCGAUUUCUUAUUUUAUUAUUGUUCUCGUUUCGUGUUGUGAUUGCUUGGCGUGUGGUAUUAGCAGAUACCGGGACCUCUGGGAAACUAGAGUUCUCCUACUUUCCUAAUUUAAACGGAAAUCGACUGUGAAAAUUUUGGUUCCCACACUUGAAGAAUAAGUUUUUUCGACAAAAAUACCUUCCUCGAUAAAAACACCUUCUUGGAUGACCAAACAGUCAUACGCACUAACAUCUUCUCAAACACUUAUCCUUCGGGAAGAGUCAAAAACAGUAAUAUCUACUGAUAAGUUUGUUGCUGAUCACAAAAAACUCUCAACGUCCUAAACAGACUAAGCCAUCUCGUAGAGAUAGCUCUCGAACACCCGACACA